UGCACCGGCGGGCGGGGCUGGUAGUGCCGCUGGCACUGGUGGGGCUGGUCGCUGCGGGGGACGUGGCGCGGCUGGCGUUCGACGCGCCGACGCUGCAG
rnacentral:tRNA from 1 species